GGAGGCAAAUGAUGUGAUUUCAAAUCUUAUCCUACACACUGAAAACACUGUGUGGACAGAUAACUCCGCUUAUUAUCUGAUGCCUCU
rfam:Musa acuminata subsp. malaccensis Doubled-haploid Pahang (DH-Pahang) genomic chromosome, chr8